GCCUAUGCCUGUUCUGGAUUGAACACAUCUGAUCUCAGAAGCUAAGGAAUCUCAGACCUGACUAGAACUUAGAUACGAAGCCACUUGGAAAUCCCAGGUGCUAUUGGUU
rnacentral:rRNA from 1 species